UACAGAGGUCUCAAGCGUUGUUCGGAAUCACUGGGCGUAAAGGGUGCGUAGGCGGCGGAGUAAGUCGGGUGUGAAAUUUGAAGGCUCAACCUUCAACUAGCACCUGAUACUGCUUUGCUCGAGACCUGGAGAGGAGCUUGGAAUUCUCGGUGUAGCAGUGAAAUGCGUAGAUUUCGAGAAGAACGCUCGCUGCGAAAGCGAAGCUCUGGCCAGCGUCUGACGCUGAGGCACGAAGGCUAGGGGAGCAAACGGG
rnacentral:rRNA from 1 species